rnacentral:lncRNA from 1 species
GGUGCGAUAAUUUGGAUACCUCAAUUCCUGAUCUAGCAACUGAGUUUGAUGAAUCGAUUGAAGCUAGUAUAAAAGAGGAGUUACGAAGGGAAUCAUCGGAUUGGGAAGUGGUUCUAGAUAGAUGGGACAGAUCUUAUAACAUUCAACAACGCGAUUUAUCACUUCUGAGUAGUUACGAUUUUAUUAAGGAGUGGCCAAAGUUAAAAGACGCCAGAGGCCCCAACUGAUAAACUCCGACUUCAAGCGGUUGCAUCCUAACAAAGAACAUUUAUUAACAAGUAAGAAAGUCUAAGUACGGGCGGAGCCGAACAUUAAAUACCCGUCGCAGGUACCGCCACAUGACGCUGAAAAUUGUGUGCUAACAACGCUAAUACAUUCAAUUCUACCUCCAACCGCUAGAUUCCACAACACGUCAGGAGCAUCAAAAGCAAAAGCUACAAUAUUGGACGCGCAAGAGUUCUUUAUUAUCAAAGUAGAAACUAUAGGCAAUGUUUAUGAAGAAAUUCAAAAGUAUGUUGACAAAUGUUAUAUGAAUUCAUUUACAGUUCAACCUUUUAUAAUAAUGGAGGGAACAUAUUUAUCACCUAAAGCCUUUUUUGCUUAUAUUGAUAAAAUCAUUUACAAGUUUGACUCUUUUAUUGAAUGUCUGGAUUGUACUUUUAAAAUAUUUCAAGUUUUAAAUCUAAAGUAUCCCGCAGUUGCUGCCAACGCUUGGACCUUUAUUCAGAGAUAUUUCUUUGAGAUCGAAACAACGUCAGAUAUUAAAACACCUGCUCUGCUGUCGCUUGUAAAUUACCUUAAAAAUAAAUAAUAUUUAUAUAUUUCAAUAUGAUUUGCUUUUUAUGUAAAAAAUGUUUCAAACAACCUGCUGUUAUAUAGCACAUUUAAAAUCAUAUCACUCUCUUAAGCAAAGUCAUACAAAGAUUUGUACUUUUGGUAAUUGUAAGCAAUUAUUUGCAUCGUUCGGUAAUUUCAAAAACCAUUUGCAAAAAUGUAUGAAUGAAAAAUUUGAGAUUUGUAAAAAUAUAACUGAAAGCUCAGAAAAUGAAGUAAUACAGAAAAAAUUAACCCAGCCAUGUGCUAUUGAAAAUUUAAGUGUACAAGUACAUGAAGGAUAUAGAGUUUCAAAUGAAGAUUACAAUACAUUGGUUUCGAAGCUCCCGAACAAUUUAUUGUAAUUUUCAUUAAAAUUGUAUUCAAAAAGUUCUAUGUCUAGAAAAGAUGUACUAUUUGUACAAAAUGAAUCGCAAAAUCUUUUCAAAUUGUUUCAGAAUGUUUAAACAACGUUGUAAAAAGAGAGAGUUUAACAAGGCAGAUCCUAACUUCAGAGUUAGAACUUCUUUCUAAUGUUUGCAGCAAUGCCUUUGAAAACAUACCAUCAGAAUAUCUUAUUAUUAAACACUUAAGUAAAACAAAUAUGUAUCAGGGUCCUAAGACUAUUAUUAUUGAAAACGUAAUAGCAGAAAAUAUUGCAAAAGGUAUUCCAACAUUGUCAGAAAAAAGCGAACUAUUGAAAUUAUGCCAUUAUCAUUUCAAUUUAAAUCUUUUUUUGAAUUAAAUGGCGUAUUAGAUAUUGUAGUUGCAAAUUCUAUGCAAUUGUUUAAUAACAAGAACAUUUGUAAUAUUGUAAGUGGCACAGUUUUUAAAAAAGCAGUACUUUCUUGUGUUUCAAAUGAAAUAGUAAUACCAUACAAUAUAUAUUUCGACGAUUUCCAAGUAAAUAAUGCGCUAGGAACGCACACUUUUUACAUCUGUGGCUGCUACAAUAAUUUUCCAACAUUCCCUCAAUAUUUAAGUUCAAAGCUUGACUUUAUAUUUCAUGCUGCUAUAGCUACGCAAAAUUUAAAGAAAUAUGGAAAUGAGUUAGCAUUUAAUAGCUUACUAAAUGAACUAGUUCUGUUAGAGAAGGGUAUUUUCAUACAAAACAAAACUGUAAAGUUUUUGUUCACAGCAGUACCUGGAGAUAAUCUUGCUCUUAAUGGGGUAUUAGGAUUUUCUAAGUCAUUUAGUGCGCACAGAUUUUGUAGGGCAUGUAGAAGAUCGAAAGAGGAAACUAAACAUGAUUUCGUGGAAAAGGCUAUUAGGACAAAAGAAAGUUAUGCAGCCGAUAUAUUUGAAGGCAUUAUUUCAGGUGUUUCGGAGGAGUGUAUU